rnacentral:lncRNA from 1 species
GAGGAGGGUGGCAGGAGAGAUCAGAAGUCCCUGGGAACUGAGCUCCUGGCUGUGGAGAGCUGGACUCUGCUCCUCACAGUGAAUGACCCCAGCCCCCAGGCAGAGCCCGGGCAUCUCUAGGUCAGCCAGCCCACCACCUGCUUUGCAAAUGAAGUCGUGCUUGUACCCAGCUGUGUUCAUCCAUUUUCAGAGGACUAGGUGGCGGAGUUGACUAGUUGGAACAGAGACAGGGGCUUGAAAGGGGAACGUUCUUACUACCUGGCCCCUGCAGGAAAAGUGCCCCUGGAGAGCACUCAGAGACGUGGUGCUGGUGAGGGCACAGCUGACUUCUCUCCUGUCAGAGCAGAGUACUGGUGUUGCGCUCUGCUGGUCCACGUGCGCGUGGGGCUGGGAUGUCUGUGAGAACUGUGGAGAGAGGCCCUGCUCGCACAGAAGAGCACAGGACUGGAAAAGGUAGACCCAUUUGAGGUUUGUACCUACCCCCACUCUUCCCUCCCAGGUUUAGACUGGGAACUAAACUGGUUCAUCAGCUUUGGUCUUAUGGAAUGAUAUUUUAUAUUCUUUCUUUUUAAAUAUUUUUUUAGUUGUAGUUGGACACAAUAACUUUAUUUUAUUUAUUUUUAGGUGGUGCUGCGGAUUGAACCCAGCAUCUCGAAUGUGCUAGGUGAGCACUCUACCGCUGAGCCAUAAUUCCAGCCCCAUAGUUUAUACAUUCUUAUUUGUUUCCUUUAUUAGUGUUUUUGUUUGUUUUCUUAUUGG